rnacentral:ncRNA from 1 species
AGUCUGUAGGAGGGUUUGAUUAUGGCCUUAAAUUUAUAGACAAAAUGCUUCUCAUGAUUCUAAAUGCGAGCUUGAACAGAUUAAGGAUAAGUUCAACAUCAGUGGGGAAAAUUGGUUAAUAAAGGAACUUUAACCCAGCUUUUUGAUAAUUUCGGGGUUAAUUGAUGAAUGCCAGCAGCCGCGGUUAGAUUCAGUUCGAAUAUAAAUUUAAGCGGAUUGGUUAGAGUCAAUGUUGGGUCUAUAAAACUAUAAAAAAACUAUAGGUGCAGUGUAAUGUUAACGGUUUUUUGUGGUUAUAUUCCUGAAGUUUUAGUGAGUUUCUAACGAAUCUAUGAAGUGAAACCAGGAUUAGAUACCCUGUUAUCCAUAGUUUAAAACAGAAGUUCCUCUUAACUAAACAUUUGGUUGUCAAAGAGAAAUAAAUAGGCGGUGUCUGAGAUAGAAAACAGGGGAUCCUGGGUGUUAAAGGAUAACCCACCUACAUUUGAGCCUUGUCUUAUUAGUGCGUGUGUAUGGUUGUUUACUCUAAUAUGGUGAGUGUCCGGGUAAAAAUUUUGGUUAUUGCUAAAGUUAGGGUUUAUUUUAUUGGUUAAGUUUGGUAAAAUAAGUUAGCUUUAGCUAGAUGCAGCUAGUAGAAGGGGUUUAUUCACCUUUGUAGCACAGCUUCAAAAAUAAUUCAGAUUGACAUGCAGCUUAUGAUAAGGUUAAUCUGGGAUACAGUUGCAGCUUAAGCAAUAGUUUAAAUUUAAACUAUUAAGUAGUAUAAAUAAUCUAACGAAUAAGGUAAGAAAACUUGACUUUGAAGAAGGACUUGUAAGUAAGGGUUGAAAAUAAAACCGCCCUGAAUACAAUCAGAUGAGUACUAAUCGCCCGUCGCUCGCGGGGAAACCUGUGAAAAGUCGUAACAAGGUAGCAGUAACGGAAGUUGUUGCUAGGCCAUAAUAU